GACAGAGGGUGCAAACGUUGUUCGGAAUUACUGGGCGUAAAGCGCGUGUAGGCGGCUUUGCAAGUCGGGUGUGAAAGCCCACGGCUCAACCGUGGAAGUGCAUUCGAAACUGCAAGGCUAGUGUCCUGGAGAGGAGGGUGGAAUGCUUGGUGUAGAGGUGAAAUUCGUAGAUAUCAAGCGGAACACCGGUGGCGAAGGCGGCCUUCUGGACAGUGACUGACGCUGAGACGCGAAAGCGUGGGGAGCAAACAGG
rnacentral:rRNA from 1 species